ensembl:misc_RNA 7SK 7SK RNA
GGAUGUGAGGACUAUCUGGCUGCGACAUCUGUCACACCAUUGAUCGCUAGGGUUGAUUCCACUGAUCUGGCUGACUAGGCGGGUGUCCCCUUCCUCUCUCACUGCUCCAUGUAUGUCCCUCCUGAAGCUGUGUGCUCAAUUGAAGAGGACGACCUUCUCCGAAUAGAGGAGGACCGGUGGUAUCAGGUCAAGGGUAUAGGAGUAACUGCAGUCCCCUGCUAGAACCUCCAAACAAGCUCUCAAUACCAGGUUGUCAUACCUGAGACAGACAAGAUCAGUGCUCCACUGCAUCCCCUCAUAUCUUUACUGA